CUCCUCCUACUCCUCCUUCCCCUCAUUCCCCUCUUUCUCUGAAAUGUGGCUGUGUAUUAAAUACAUAUAUAUAUACAUGUAUUUAUAUAUGUAUUUAUAUAUACGCGUGUAUACUAACCUCGACGAAGGACACAAAUUGCUCACUGGACAAGUACUACCUACUUACUAGCUAUAACGUAAUAGUAUCAGUAGAGAAGGUCGGCUCGAGUCAGACGUGAUUCGAGAUUCAGUGAAGACCAUGAAAGAACUUAAUUUUUAUUCGGUGAAGAAGAAGAAGAAGAAGAAGAGGAAGAAGAUGGAGAGGAAACGCGAUAAAGAAAUACUUUUUCUUAUUAGUUUCAUCGAAAUAUCCUAAAGCUAAGCUGAGAACAACAACGUUUAUUUUGGCCGUAAAUAUUUGUCGUUCCGCUCGAGCAAGCGAGACAGCCGAGAUGUAUCAUUGGGAUCGUCGAGGGUCCGAAGGUCGACAUAUCGAUUUGCUUGAAAUUUGAAGUACGAGGGUUUAACCCUUGCGGCGGGCCUGUGAUCGAGUGUAUACACGAUGAAUGGGAUAUGGUAGAAAGGAGGUGGAGAGAGAAAGAGAAAGAGAGAGAGAGAGAGAGAGAGAGAGGAAGAAAAAUGGAGGAUAACGAGGAAAGAGUGGUGCGGGCAAUCGACCGACCGAUGGAAAAAUUUCGACGCGGUGGAAAAAGACCACUACAAGGAUGCUAGCG
rnacentral:lncRNA from 1 species